rnacentral:rRNA from 1 species
CCUACGGGAGUCAGCAGUGAGGAAUAUUGGUCAAUGGCCGGAAGGCUGAACCAGCCAUGCCGCGUGAAGGUCAGUGACCUAUGGGCGUUAAACUUCUUUUGUGCGGGAGCAAUAAUGGUCACGUGUGGCCAGACGAGAGUACCGGACGAAUAAGCAACGGCUAACUCCGUGCCAGCAGCCGCGGUAAUACGGGGGAUGAAAGCGUUAUCCGGAGUUAUUGGGUUUACAGGGUGCGCAGGCGGGAGAUCAAGUCAGCGGUAAAAUGUCGGGGCUCAAACCCGGCCGGCCGUUGAAACUGGUUUUCUAGAGUUGGAGAGAAGUAUGCGGAAUUCGUGGUGUAGCGGUGAAAUGCAUAGAUAUCACGAAGAACUCCGAUUGCGAAGGCAGCAUACCGGCUCCAUACUGACGCUGAGGCACGAAAGUGUGGGUAUCAAACAGGAUUAGAUACCCUUGUAGUC